rnacentral:rRNA from 1 species
GAGGGGUGCAAGCGUUAUUCGGAUUCAUUGGGGCGUAAAGGGGUGUGUAGGCGGCAGGUUAAGUCAACUGGUUAAAUUUUCCGGCCUAACCGGAAGCAUGCAGUAGAUACUAGCUUGCUAGUGGAUGAGAGAGAGAAGUGGAAUUCUCGGAGUAGCGGUAAAAAUGCGUGGAUCUCGAGAGGAACACCAAUGGCGAAGGCAGCCUCUUGGCUCAUUCCAGACGCUGAGACACGAAAGCGUGGGGAGCAAACAGGAUUAGAUACCCUGGUAGUCCACGCUGUAAACGAUGAUCACUAGACGUUAGACUUGUUUUACAAGUUUAGUGUCGUAGCUAACGCGAUAAGCGAUCCGCCUGGGGACUACGGUCGCAAGAUUA